GCCUUAACCUCGGCUAUAAAGCAUGCUGAGGCGGAGUCCCCUCGUUUCAGGCUCUUCAGUGUCAGUGCUCAGUAUCUGCCUUAGAGAACUACGAGAAGGGGCUGCUAGCAGCCGCCAUCCGGGGCACUGGGUGGCUGCAGGUGGUGGUGGCGAUGGAACGGUAGGAGGGCGGCCAGCAGCGGGAGCUUCUCCUGCCGGGCAGGAGGACGAGUAGAAGGGAGAGGCACCACCACAUGCUGGAGGCUGGAGCUUGCACCGCCGCAGCUCGCCUCACUGCAGUUGGAGGUGACGUUGGACACUACAGCUUGGCCAGAGUGGUAGAAAUGUUGUUGCAUAGGAUUACCAGGAGACACCAGGUGCUGCAGCAGCUUCGGGAUAACUUGAGGAUGCAUCCUGGGGAAGAGACACCUCUUGUCCAUGGCGCUGACUACUGAGGACAGCUUCGGUGUGGCUUUUCUGCGGCCAGCUUCUUUGAGGCCUUUUUCUUUCAUGGAUGGUAGAGAGCAGUCUACAGCCUGAGACCCAUCACAAAGGAAGAUGUUGAGGCCAAGAGAGAUAGGACGACCAUGGGCCUCAUGCUGCCCAGGAAUAGCCCCGAUUACCCUGGCCCCCAGCUCCAUGCAGCCUGCAUGGCCAGGUUCCUUGUGAGACACCUGGGGGACUCCAAACAGCCGGAAUCCAUCUGCCCACUGGUCCGGAGACAGGGAUCCUCCGCCUCCUUCCAGGGUUGAUGGCUCAGGAGGCCUUCUCUGCAGGGGACCAGGACACAGGAAAGCCAGGAAGAGAUGAGCUGGGAAGGGAGCUGUUGGGGGCCAUUCUGGUUUUAAAAAUAAAGCAGGACUUUCGUUGCUUGUUAUAAAAGGAACACAUGCUCAUUUUCUGUGAUUUAGGAAAGCGCAGAAAAGUAAAAGGGAAAGAAGAACGUAGCCGCUGCCUAGCACCAGGGAAAAAAGGGCUGUAGUUUUUAGUGUCU
rnacentral:lncRNA from 10 species